rnacentral:lncRNA from 1 species
AAGUCGAACGAGACUGUGUCACAGUUGAAGAAGGAAAGAAAUCAAUGACAGUAUCAAACCCAACUCAGAGUGAUGAACAAGAUGAAGAAGAUGAAGAAGGUGAAGCAGAAGAGAGAAUAAAAAUGAAAAGUCUAACUGACAUCUAUGAGAGGUACAACUUUGCCUCAAAAGAACCUUCCUCUGUUGAGGAAGCACUUCAGCAGCAAGAGUGGAGACUUGCCAUGGAAGAGGA